UGUCCUACGGGACGCAGCAGUGGGGGAUAUUGCACAAUGGGGGAAACCCUGAUGCAGCGACGCCGCGUGUGGGAAGACGGUCCUCUGGAUUGUAAACCACUGUCCCCAGGGACGAAGAUGACGGUACCUGGGGAGGAAGCUCCGGCUAACUACGUGCCAGCAGCCGCGGUAAUACGUAGGGGGCAAGCGUUAUCCGGAUUUACUGGGUGUAAAGGGAGCGUAGACGGCAUGGCAAGCCAGAUGUGAAAUACCGGGGCUCAACCCCGGGACUGCAUUU
rnacentral:rRNA from 1 species